UUAUAUAUUUUGCACGUGGAAUAUAAGUGUUACGUGGGACCUGGUUCUGUUUUGCACGGUACGACGUUUUCCUCGUGCCCGCGAUUUCCAUCACGACUUGAUGCGAAGGGGGAAUAUAAUGAGAGUGUGCCGUGGUAGGAGGAUUCUCUUUCUUGCACGCUCGCAUGCCGAGGAAGACGGAGAGUGGAGGCGCAGACAGGGCGCGAGACGCAUGUGAGAGCAUGCAUUCGGGGCAUCGCCGUGCCGCGGCAGGGAUUUCGGCGUCUUUAACGACGGUGAUUUCAUCCGUGAAGAUGAGAGUUUGGCGUUACCUCGUUAUUAAGUCGUUAUUAUGAGCCCUUGCAUCAAGCCGAAUAAUAUUCGGCGCAGUAUGCGAUAUUAAUGCACAAAGCCGGCGAAAAAGACGCAUUAGAAAAAGUCUCGAAAUAUGUGAUAUGUCCAAUCGAAGAGCGAGAGAAGAAAAAA